GUGGUAAUGCCGGAUGUUCCACAUGAUCGCAUGUGAUUGUGGGAAAGAUUCUAUCGGCGUGGGAUGGGGUCGCGUCCUAUCAGCUUGUUGGUGAGGUAACGGCUCACCAAGGCUUCGACGGGUAGCCGGCCUGAGAGGGCGACCGGCCACAUUGGGACUGAGAUACGGCCCAGACUCCUACGGGAGGCAGCAGUGGGGAAUAUUGCACAAUGGGCGCAAGCCUGAUGCAGCGACGCCGCGUGAGGGAUGGAGGCCUUCGGGUUGUAAACCUCUUUUGUUUGGGAGCAAGCCUUCGGGUGAGUGUACCUUUCGAAUAAGCGCCGGCUAACUACGUGCCAGCAGCCGCGGUAAUACGUAGGGCGCAAGCGUUAUCCGGAUUUAUUGGGCGUAAAGGGCUCGUAGGCGGCUCGUCGCGUCCGGUGUGAAAGUCCAUCGCUUAACGGUGGAUCUGCGCCGGGUACGGGCGGGCUGGAGUGCGGUAGGGGAGACUGGAAUUCCCGGUGUAACGGUGGAAUGUGUAG
rnacentral:rRNA from 1 species